CACGUCGCAAAACAGCUGCUUCCUCCACAGCAGGUUGAGGCCGUGCAGCAGGUUGUCGCUGUGGCUGGGGUCGAAGGUGGAGGUCCUGUCCCCGGAUCUGGACAUGGCGAGCUGACUCGGUGCACCUGGCUUUAAAUCCUCCUCCAACCUGGCAGACAGGGGUGGGGGAUGGGAGCGAGGGGAGCAGGGUGGUGGAGGGGGUGGGGUGUGGUCGGGGUGGGGAAGGGUGUGAAGGGGAGGGGAGGGCGGAGAACGAGAAUCAAGGCUCAGCUCGGCUCCCUCCGGGCGCGCUCCGGACCCCGACCCUCGGAGGAAGGUCCGAAGACGCUGGAUCCGUGAGCGCCACCAGAAGGGCCCAGUCCGGGGUCCCGGCGCCGGUUCUGCUCCCUGCGACUCCUCUCGCCACCUCCCACACACUUCGUCCCUCACUUUCCUAAAACCACCUCAGCUGGGCUCUUGGCAGCAACAGCAGUGGCAGCAGCGACGGCAAAGUGGCGGCUGAGGCCGAGGCACCUCGUGGGCUCGUGUCCAUGCCGGGCCGGAUGAAGGGAAAGGCUGGGGAGUGGGGAGCCGGGGGUGCCCUGAAAGCUCAGAGGCGACCGACGGCGAAGGUUCCAGGUCGACUUGUGCCAGAAGCUUUGCUUUUCGCGGUUGGCCCAGUUUGGGGGAGGGGGUAGGAACGGGAGCCCGACAAGCGUGCGGGAUGGGCGAAUCUUAGCUCUCCAAAUGCUGGGACCCCCUUCGAUUAUCCAUGCUGCCCCAAGAAACUCCUAGGCUAAUAGUCUGAGGGAGGAGAUAAAGCCCUUUCUUCUCCCGGGAAAGUGCAGCGGAGCGCGGUGAGGACCCGCUCAGUGGACUCGGCAGAGGCAGGAGCUGUCCUUAUCAAUUCGAGCUCAUUUCCCUCAACCCGGCCCUGCCCGCUUCCCUGCUUCGCAAACUGUUGGCUUCCCCGUCACCACUCAGUUUGGCUAAUUUUCCAGAGACGCCUUUAAACCUGGCAGGAGAAUCCUUCCACCACCCCCACCCCCACCCGGCGGCCCCCUCUCCCGGGUCUCCCUCAUUUCAAAGGGCAGAAGUUCAGGCAUCUAUCUCCCCUUCCAGCUCGGGGCGGCACCAAGGACCCAGGGGAGGAAGUGGGGCUGCUGGGGCGCGUUUGGAGCGGGAUCCGGGAGCUAGGGAGGUUUCUCCCUCCCGGGCACCAGUCGCAGUCUCUUUAACUCCAGUAACUAUGAGAAGUUCAAGUUAGAAGGCAGGGCUGAGCAGAAAGGGACCCUCUGUUCGCAUCCCGCCCGCGCGCCCGCCCGCCGGGGAGAGCCGCCGCCGCCGCCGCCGCCCGGCUCAGAGGGAUCCCGCCGGACCUGCCCCUUCCACUGCGGCUCACUCUGCCCUGCCUGGCGCCAGUCCUGGAUCGCCGGCUUCCUAUUUAUACCGGACUGGGCUCCUUUCGACUCACUUUACCAUCCUGUUCCAGGCUGGCGACUUCGCUGCUGAGCUGAAACUGCUAAUUUCUGUGACCAGCUUUUUUCUUAGCUGUGAUCUGGAUGAAUGAGUAGCUGUCUCACAGAGAUGACAAAAAUAAACUCUAAUCCCCCCCAAAA